rnacentral:rRNA from 1 species
UGCCUACGGGGGGCAGCAGUGAGGAAUAUUGGUCAAUGGGCGGGAGCCUGAACCAGCCAAGCCGCGUGAGGGAAGAAGGUACAGCGUAUCGUAAACCUCUUUUGUCAGGGAACAAAGGCGGGGACUAGUCCCCGGAUGAGGGUACCUGAAGAAAAAGCAUCGGCUAACUCCGUGCCAGCAGCCGCGGUAAUACGUAGGGGGCAAGCGUUAUCCGGAAUUACUGGGUGUAAAGGGAGCGUAGACGGCUGUGCAAGUCUGGAGUGAAAGGCGGGGGCCCAACCCCCGGACUGCUCUGGAAACUGUAU